UUUGCAGGUCUGCAGGGGCAGUUUCGACACAUUGUUUCACAUCAGCUCUACGUGAACUGCAGAAACCAUAAACUGGCUCUUACUAUCAAGCACCUUAUCAACGACUAUCCUAUUGUGGAUCAGGUUGACAGUCUCCUGCUGUCAGUGUGGAAGAUGUUCCAUUACUCCCCUAAAAAGUUUGCAACCCUUCAAGAGAUACAGGCAACAUAUGGACUGACAAAACUGAGGAUGAUUCGUGCAAGUGCCACAAGAUGGCUGUCACAUGGAAGGGCCUCCAUUAGGCUUGUGGACAGAUAUUUUGCUGUUGUUGAUGCAAUCGAUGCAAGUCUGGCAGAAAUGUAUGAUGCAGAGGUUAUGGGGUUAGAGAUCAGCUGUUGGACAAGAACACCAUAUUUGCUGUUUUCAUGCUUUGUCACAUCCUAACUCCUGUUAUAAGGUUUAGUGAUUAUCUGCAGGGAAAUGUUAUCUUCUCAGGAGUGACAACUUGAUGCAAGGACCUGAUUGAUGAGCCUUAUUACCUCAUUUGACACUUUCAAACAAGCCUCAUUCAACCAGAUGGUGGUCUGUACCUUGAUAUAAUGGAAGAGUUCUUCACAGAAAUGGACAAUCGGACUGCUUUAGCUAGACGCCUAAGGAAUAGUUUAACGAAAACAUAAGCACAUUUAUAUUGAGCCUAUGUUUAACUUGUUAUUUUGUUCUAGUUUUACUGACCAAUAUUCAAAAUGUAAUAAUAUUAUUCAUUGACUAUGUACAGGUAUCAUGCAGUUUUGACACCGGAGCAGAUGAUUACAGAGAUAGUAGUACCUCUGACACACAGCCUGAUGAACAAGAUUACUGAUGCAUUCCACAGUACACCAGUUUUUGAGGCAAUGUUCCUGAAAACAUGGCAGAUGUGAAUUCAUUGUCAUUUUGUAUGGUUUUAACUGAAAACCUUUCAUUACUGGUAACUGUUGUGAUUGUAAAUGUGUAAAGGUUGUUUACCCUGCCAGGACCCUGAUCAAUGUGUAAUCUAAUUGUUAGUUUGUUACUUAAAUGAGCUGUAAAAAUACUGUUAUUUAUUUACUUUUAUUGUUGAUAAUAGUUACACAUAAUUAAAUAAAUACACACAGAUUGAGAUUAACAACCUAGCAGAGCAUUAUGGUCAGCCUAAGGUAGAUGUCUACAAUGGACACAGAACUGUGGCAGAACCAAGACAUGCUGCAGCAGACAUGCGCACACAGUGGCCACUAUUACGACCUCCGCUGAGUUUAAUAAAUAAGUAUUUGCUGAGAUAUUCUCCAAGAUCCAUACAACACUGCAUUAGCAGUAAUUACUUCCCAGGAGACAAUCGAAUAUGGUAGC